rnacentral:snRNA from 1 species
GUGCUCGCUUUGGCAGCAAGUAUACUAAAAUUGGAACCACACAGAGAGAAUUAGUACGGCCCCUGCGCAAGGACGACACACAAAUCUGUGAAGCGUUCUAUAUUUUU